rnacentral:misc_RNA from 1 species
ACCUCAUCUCCCCAUUCCUCCUCCUCUCUCUCGCCUACUCCAAUCGCACGGCCCUGCACUGCAAUGCCAGAAAUCAGAAAAGCGAAAAGUAAGCAAGGAGAGAGGCAUUUGCUUUUCAGUAGUCACACACGCACACACACACGUUGUUCGUUUUCAGGGCUCUCUCUGCGCUUGCGAGUGUGAGUGUGUGUGUGUGUGUGUGCAUGCGUAUGCAUUUGUGAGCGUGUGUCUCUGUAAAGCACCACUGCGCGAGGUUACCGCAUGUCGCUGAACUCGGAAACGGAGCUCGCGAGAGUAUUGCCAGACAACGCGCAACACGAAUAACCUCGUUCGCGUAGAGGAGGCUGGCGGUGCCGUGUCGAGGUGGAGGCAGGGCCGUGCGUGCGCGGAGCCGUAGGGGGUGCAAGCCAAUGGGACGGAAACGUUCUCCUUUCAACCGCCCUUUGUGUCUUUGCGCAAACAAUACCUGCGCGGCAAGGCGGUGCGGCCCUGUCGUCGCCGCCGGAGCCGUUGCCUGCAAGCGGGCUUUCAAAACAAAGAAUGCAUCUUCGUGGUUUUUCGAAUGGACGCCCUCUCACCAGUUUGCAAUGAUGCCGAGCAGCGACGAUGUGGGGACAGAGAAAGCCGGCAUGAAGCGCAUUCGUACUAAAAAAAGCAACUCGGCGGGAAGGCUGUGAUUGGCAAGAAGACAUUCCACGAGCAGGUGCACUCGGGUUUUGGCAGGUGUGGCAAAGCCAGUCUUUGUGGCAACAGAGAAACAGGGCUGCAGGAAUCCACAGCGAUUAGGGAAUGCACGACCCUGUGCCGUCUGAGACAGACACCAGGAUGCCCUCUCCGUAAGCCAUAGCGCAUCAGGCGAUACGGUUGAGGACGUGACUCUUUAGCCAACGGAAAGAGGAAAAAAGACAGCGCAGCUCCGAAAAGGCUUCAUUUCUCAUGCGAAGUUCCACAUACUCACCCCAGUCGACAGGUUGGCUGCGGCGUGCGCCAUCUUCACGGACGAUGCCGAGGAGUCCACGAUGAAACUUGCUGCGGUGACAGGCAGUGUUCCAGCCGCUGAGCAGCCCGUCAGCCACAACUGCGUCUUCGUGCGACGCCUGUACGGCAAGUGCCCGGCAAAGUACCGUGCAAGCAUCGUACGACGGGAAUAUCCGCUUUUUCCGAGAGGGUUACUUGAUCAGUUGCGCUACUCAACACCACGAGGUGGCGGCACCAAACAUGACCGGCGGCCACGACCCGCAAGGAGAGACGUUUACGCGUCAAACAUCACAGCUCUUUCGCACUAGGAGCACACCACCCAUGCUCGGGGGCGGCCUCGCCGCCCUCUACGGGAGCAGACACAGUUGUCAUGGGGCAAGAAAUGGCUCAGAUCAAGAGGAACAUGAAAGGGGUUACGAGGCGCUUGUGCCACCACAGAGGUCCACCGCGAGGACAGCAACGACGGCAGUCCAAGCGAAACCGGGCAGACCGCGAUGGAGAACAACGCUAGCGGCAACAGCAGCCUCCUGUUCCCCCGCGUCGCUCUCCGCGCGUCGAUCUGCCGCGGCACCUCGCUGCAAAGUCCGUGUGCUCCAUGUCAGAGAGCUGGGUUGCUGAAUUUGUGGGUGACAGUGUCACCCAAAUGGGGAGCGCAAGAGAGGGUCACAUCACAGAGUGACUGCGAAUCCGCGCGAGGCUACGGUGUGUGUGUGUGUAUACGUGUUCUCAGCCCAGCAGACAAGGAGGACGGAGAAGCAGAAUGACACCUUGAGAACCACAGCGGCUCACACGCAAGGCUGGGUAGCGGUGGCGACUGAGGAAGACACCGCCGCCUUUGCCCCCGCGCAGGAACCUGGGCGCUGCCCGCGAGGAUGAAGGCAUGCAGUCCAACCGAGUGUAUCUGGCGCCGACUGCGCAGCGCGUAUGUAACGAUGGGACGGGAAAGGACAAGAAGAGCCUGUCUGGUGCACGGCCCGAUACCAUGGCAGGACGGCUCGUCCCAGACACGACCGGGAUGUGGCCGUAGUGCAGUGGAGUUCGGCGGACUGUGAUCGUGUAUGCGUGUGCGCUUGCUCACUUGCUCGUGCUAGAGUGGCCACGUCGAAAACGAAAGAAAGUGCUUUUUGCGUCUCUGGUCUCUUC